UUUUUUUUCCCCCCCCCAGGCUACCAACUGAUCCCUCUCGUGUCUGCAGUAACCCGAAUGUAGUCUAGUAAGGUUUGCUCAAGUGAGAUGGAAGACAAAGAGGUAGGCUCCAAAACAGACUUGCGUAUUGGAGACUUAUCCACCACAUGGUGAUGCUUUCCUGACCUCCUUGAUUGCAGUGUGGGAUGUGCCCUGAUCCUUGGAAAGGGGUGAGUGAUUCCUGCAUCCUCACUAGAAGGUAAUCUCUACUUACCUUUUCUUGUGUCCAUCAGGUGGCACUGGAGAGUUGUGACCCUGCUGAGCAGUGCAAGGACUCUACUGAGGCUCUUGGUGGACACAGCAAGAACCCACACCCGUAGAUGGAUGCCAAUAUCUAUUCCUUCCUCUGUCUGGCAAGCUCUGGUGUCCCCUGAGGUCAUUCCCAUGCUUGCAGAGGUCCUAUGGACUUGUUGGUUGUCACUUGUGCUCACUGGGCUUUCCAAGGGUGUUCCUCUUGCUUGACACCACCUUUCCCACUCUCUAUUUCCAAGCAGGAGCUCCCCUUGGCCUCCGUGUCUCGCUCUGGCCAGGCAGAUGUGGUGUGCCAACGGAUCAAAGCCUUCAGAAUUCAACCAAAAGAAAUGAGGAGAGAGGCUGCCGUGGGUGAGACAGGAGAAGUGCCCCUUGAAGCGGGGGACGCCCUGCUGGCACUGCCUCUCGCAUCCAUCGGCAGCACGUUCCUUCUCUCUCCUUGCCUCCUGGCGCUUUGCCGUCUCCCACGGCUCACCAGGUCCGAAUGUUCCCUGAUGGAGUCCAACUCCAGCUUGACCAUCACUCACCCCGUCUUGUCCCUGCACCAGCUGGCUUAGAGCUCCCCAUCAUUGCUGUCUGUCCGUGCCUUCUGUCACUCCCAGUCAGCAUGGCUCUGUUCUUUGUCUUUUGGGUUCCAGAGCGUUAGCUACAGGUUAUGGAGUGUUUCUCUUCUCUCUCUUCUUGUCUUCCAUGUUGCCCGUUGGCACCUCGGUGGAGUUUCAGUGACCCAAACGCAGGCGGCUCUGCGUUGACCAAGCGUGAUGCCAAGAGAAGAGGUAGACACCAGAAUAGGCCACUGGAUAGGAGACUCUACCAUCAGAUGGCGUUGCCUGUUCUUCUCUCCCCAGUUUGCAGAGUUGGAUGUGACCUCAGCAUGGAUAAGGGGUAAGUGAUUCCUUCAUCCUGACUAGAAGGUAAUCUCUACUUGUCUUGUGCUGUGUGGAGCAGGUUGCAGUGGAGAAGUGCAGUUGUCCGGGGCGCUGCAAGGACUCUAUGGAGGCAUUUGGUGGACGCCGCAGGAACCCACAGCCAGAGAUGGAUGCCAAGAUGCACUCCUUCCUCUGUCUGGCAAGCUCUGCUGACCCCUGAGGUUUUUCCCAUGCUUGCAGGGGUCCUACGGGCU